rnacentral:tRNA from 1 species
UCUGGGUGUAGCGCAGCUUGGCCAGCGCACUUGCAUGGGGUGCAAGGGGUCGGAGGUUCAAAUCCUCUCACCCAGAUCC